AACGAACGCUGGCGGCAGGCUUAACACAUGCAAGUCGAACGCCACCUUCGGGUGGAGUGGCAGACGGGUGAGUAACGCGUGGGAACGUACCUUUUGCUUCGGAAUAUUCCCGGGAAACUGGGAGUAAUACCGAAUAAGCCCUGAGGGGGAAAGAUUUAUCGGCAAAAGAUCGGCCCGCGUUAGAUUAGGUAGUUGGUGGGGUAAUGGCCGACCAAGCCUACGAUCUAUAGCUGGUCUGAGAGGAUGAUCAGCCACAUUGGGACUGAGACACGGCCCAAACUCCUACGGGAGGCAGCAGUGGGGAAUAUUGGACAAUGGGCGCAAGCCUGAUCCAGCCAUGCCGCGUGAAUGAUGAAGGCCUUAGGGUUGUAAAAUUCUUUCAACGGGGACGAUAAUGACGGUACCCGUAGAAGAAGCCCCGGCUAGCUACGUGCCAGCCGCCGCUGUAAGAC
rnacentral:rRNA from 1 species